UAUAUCAAUUUAUUAAGGGGUGUGAUGGGGAAACAGUCUCACUAAUAAAAAGCAAGGUAGAUGUGCUGCAGAUCGGCAGCUGAUCCAGCUUCUGUUCUCAAGGCUGAUGGGGACCAACUGCAAUCUGCUUUCCGAUGCCCAAUCUCCUCACCCCAAGAGAAAGCAUGACUCCCUCUCUCUCCCCUUAACUGGUCACAUUUGCAGACCAGAAGCCACACCCAAUGCUUGUACCCAAAAGCUAUUGGUGGAAUGAAUUCCCACAAUACAUCUCUUCUUAUCUAAUAUCCUUGGUCUCCUGUCCCAGCCCCAGAGGAUAAGAGUCCAAGGUGGGCACUGAUGAAGACCAUCUCCAAUUUUCUUCAGAAGCCCCAUGGGGCCUUCCCAUUAGGGUACUUAGGCUGAUAGAGCUCCCUCAUACCUCAUGGCCUUACGAGGCUAGCAGGGAGAGACUGUGAAAGCUAGGAAGAAAGCUAGCUAGACAACAUCCUGCAUAGGGAUGGGAAAAAUUAAAAUUGUCAAUUCCUGAGGUGAACUCUGAAUCCUGUGUCUCUGUCUACCAUUACUCUACUUUCCAGGUCCCUGUGCUGCUCACUGCUAGAAAGAAGCUGUAUCCACAGAGACUGAUUGAUGAAUUAAAACUGCAGUACUGUGAAGAAACUGGAAUGUUACAGGUCCGGAGACUAAUUACUUUGUCGUGGGCUGCUUCUAGUUCUUUGGAACAACCAUUCCUUGAUAAGACAAAAAGGAACUGGAUGACCAAGGAAAAAGGGUCUCCAUAUACUACCAGGACACUUACACACAAACUUGAAACGAGCUUUUUCUGGAUCCUAACAGGACUGGUAAAGCCAUAUUAUGAACUGAUGCCAGAAUACAACAAAAGAGGGACACCUUCCUGAAUUUCAACCACAUGUAAACUUCAUAUCACUCCCUCUGCCCUGCCCUGCCCCCCCAUGACAGGGUUUCUCUGUGUAAUCCUCGUGUACUGGUGUAGCUGAAGAGCUUCUCUACAGGUGCCACCAAGCCCCCA